rnacentral:rRNA from 1 species
GAUGAACGCUAGCGGCAGGCCUAAUACAUGCAAGUCGAACGGUGUAGCAAUACACAGUGGCGCACGGGUGCGUAACACGUAUGCAACCUACCUAUUAUUGGGGGAUAGCCUUUGGAAGCGGAGAUUAAUACCGCAUAAGACAGUGACAUGGCAUCAUGUAGCUGUUAAAGCUUCGGCGAUAAUAGAUGGGCAUGCGUCCAAUUAGUUAGUUGGUGAGGUAAUGGCUCACCAAGACGAUGAUUGGUAGGGGAUCUGAGAGGAUAAUCCCCCACACUGGCACUGAGAUACGGGCCAGACUCCUACGGGAGGCAGCAGUAGGGAAUAUUGGGCAAUGGACGGAAGUCUGACCCAGCCAUGCCGCGUGCAGGAUGACGGCGUUAUGCGUUGUAAACUGCUUUUUUAUAGGAAGAAGAAGCCCUUGCGAGGGAAAGUGACGGUACUAUAAGAAUAAGCACCGGCUAACUCCGUGCCAGCCGCCGCGGUAACAC